rnacentral:tRNA from 1 species
GCCUGGCUGCUCAGUCAGUAGAGCACAUGACUCUUGAUCUUGGGGUUGUGAGUUCGAGCCCCACCUCAGGUG